GAUGAACGCUAGCUACAGGCUUAACACAUGCAAGUCGAGGGGAAACGACAUCGAAAGCUUGCUUUUGAUGGGCGUCGACCGGCGCACGGGUGAGUAACGCGUAUCCAACCUGCCCACCACUUGGGGAUAACCUUGCGAAAGUAAGACUAAUACCCAAUGAUAUCUCUAGAAGACAUCUGAAAGGGAUUAAAGAUUUAUCGGUGAUGGAUGGGGAUGCGUCUGAUUAGCUUGUUGGCGGGGUAACGGCCCACCAAGGCGACGAUCAGUAGGGGUUCUGAGAGGAAGGUCCCCCACAUUGGAACUGAGACACGGUCCAAACUCCUACGGGAGGCAGCAGUGAGGAAUAUUGGUCAAUGGGCGAGAGCCUGAACCAGCCAAGUAGCGUGCAGGAUGACGGCCCUAUGGAUUGUAAACUGCUUUUAUAAGGGAAUAAAGUGGGAGUCGUGACUCUUUUUGCAUGUACCUUAUGAAUAAGGACCGGCUAAUUCCGUGCCAGCCGCCGCAGUAA
rnacentral:rRNA from 1 species